rnacentral:rRNA from 1 species
CGAAAGUUAGAGGUUCGAAGGCGAUCAGAUACCGCCCUAGUUCUAACCAUAAACGAUGCCAACUAGCGAUCCGCCUGAGUUCCUCAAAUGACUCGGCGGGCAGCUUCCGGGAAACCAAAGUGUUUGGGUUCCGGGGGAAGUAUGGUUGCAAAGCUGAAACUUAAAGGAAUUGACGGAAGGGCACCACCAGGAGUGGAGCCUGCGGCUUAAUUUGACUCAACACGGGAAAACUUACCCGGCCCGGACACUGGAAGGAUUGACAGAUUAAGAGCUCUUUCUUGAUUCAGUGGGUGGUGGUGCAUGGCCGUUCUUAGUUGGUGGAGCGAUUUGUCUGGUUAAUUCCGAUAACGAACGAGACUCUAGCCUACUAAAUAGGCGUUCCGAUCCUUUAUGUCGGACGUUCUUCUUAGAGGGACAAGCGGCUUUUAGCCGCACGAGACAGAGCAAUAACAGGUCUGUGAUGCCCUUAGAUGUCCGGGGCCGCACGCGCGCUACACUGAAGGAAUCAGCGUGUGCUUUCCCUGUCUGGUAGGACUGGGUAACCCGUUAAACCUCCUUCGUGAUAGGGAUAGGGAUUUGUAAUUGUUCCCUUGAACGAGGAAUUCCCAGUAAGCAUUAGUCAUAAGCUAGUGUUGAUUACGUCCCUGCCCUUUGUACACACCGCCCGUCGCUACUACCGAUUGAAUGAUUUAGUGAGGUCUUCGGACUGGCGCUCGUAGCGACCUUUGGCCGCGCCGAUGUGCCGGAAAGAUGACCAAACUUGAUCAUUUAGAGGAAGUAAAAGU